GCUUCAUCUUUCUUUCCACCAUCUCUGCGCAGGAAUCUGGGGUUGACAAGGAAUCGGAAGGAUCUGAUAAAGAGCUUGGCCGUCGUGGAAUGAUUGGGACUGAACGAAUUGGACUUGAUGCUGGUGACAGUCUUGGUGCUCUUGGUUUGAACCUCGAAUCCACUUGGCCUGGUGUAUUUGAUGCUCUGUUUUCGAGUUUCUCCAUGAUUCUUGUGACAGAGCGGCACUGAUGGCUAUGCGACACCCCAAAGCUACUGUUUUGUCUGGUGCACUUUCAGCUUUGUUUGUUAUGACUGUAAGUGCUUAGAUUACUCUCAUUGUUUUUUUUUAAAUCCAAAUCCAGUUUCUCAUGUUUCUUAUGAAGUAAAGGUUUGAUCUUUUUGUGAAUUGCAGAACUUUUAAGUUAGGUGAUAUGUAUAGCCUUUGUAUGUUGAGUUAGAGACAUCACCCUUUGUAGCAGGGUUUGAGUAUUGAUCAUAGUCCGAGAGCAAGAGAAACCAUCAAUUAAGCAUUAAUCAUGUUUUUAGGUUCUCUUCUUCCACAAGUUUUUCAUUUCCUUGUUUUUUUGUUCUUUGUUCUUUGGAAAGAUUAGAAACUUGUGUUGAGAUGUCAAUCGUCUUCUUCCAUAGAGUUCCUUAGUUUUAUUGUGUCUUGUAUUCUUUUUCUCACAUGUCUUGUAUUCUCAUGUCAAGGACGUUGAUGAAAGUGUUUUCUGAAAGACCAGUGAUGUAUAUGGCGGAGAUGUGUUGAGCGAGACUAAACCAUUACAGAUCCAGGCUUCAGCCAAGAAAGACAUUGCCUCCACCAAAGUUGCCAAGUGAUCACAUAACCAAGCUCUGUCGUGGGGAUUGGAUGAUUAAAAGGUCGUCAAGUUCUACCGUAGUGCAGCAUCAACGUCCAUUA